rnacentral:rRNA from 1 species
UACGGGGGGGGCAAGCGUUGUUCGGAAUUACUGGGCGUAAAGGGCGCGUAGGCGGCCUGCUAAGUCGGAUGUGAAAUCCCUCGGCUCAACCGAGGAACUGCAUCCGAUACUGGCGGGCUUGAAUCCGGGAGAGGGAUGUGGAAUUCCAGGUGUAGCGGUGAAAUGCGUAGAUAUCUGGAGGUACACCGGUGGCGAAGGCGGCAUCCUGGACCGGUAUUGACGCUGAGGCGCGAAAGCUAGGGGAGCAAACGGG